GCCUGGGUGGCUCAGUCGGUUGAGCAUCUGACUUCAGCUCAGGUCAUGAACUUGCGAUUUGUGAGUACGAGCCCCGCGUCAGGCU
rfam:Felis catus isolate Cinnamon breed Abyssinian chromosome A1, whole genome shotgun sequence.